rnacentral:rRNA from 1 species
GAUGAACGCUGGCGGCGUGCCUAAUACAUGCAAGUCGAGCGAACAGACGAGGAGCUUGCUCCUCUGACGUUAGCGGCGGACGGGUGAGUAACACGUGGAUAACCUACCUAUAAGACUGGGAUAACUUCGGGAAACCGGAGCUAAUACCGGAUAAUAUAUUGAACCGCAUGGUUCAAUAGUGAAAGACGGUUUUGCUGUCACUUAUAUAUGGAUCCGCGCCGCAUUAGCUAGUUGGUAAGGUAACGGCUUACCAAGGCAACGAUGCGUAGCCGACCUGAGAGGGUGAUCGGCCACACUGGAACUGAGACACGGUCCAGACUCCUACGGGAGGCAGCAGUAGGGAAUCUUCCGCAAUGGGCGAAAGCCUGACGGAGCAACGCCGCGUGAGCGAUGAAGGUCUUCGGAUCGUAAAACUCUGUUAUUAGGGAAGAACAAAUGUGUAAGUAACUAUGCACGUCUUGACGGUACCUAAUCAGAAAGCCACGGCUAACUACGUG